UGGCUCUCGCUUCGAUGAAGAACGCAGCGAAAUGCGAUACGUAAUGUGAAUUGCAGAACUAUGUGAAUCAUCGAAUCUUUGAACGCGUCUUGCGCCCUUUGGUAUUCCUUAGGGCAUGUCUGUCUGAGUGUCGUUUAAUUCUCAAACCCACCUCUUUUGGCUCUUGAGCCUGCUGAGGGGUGGCCGUCUAGGCGGCUAGGUUUGGUUCGUGAGUGCAAGCGGGCUUAUGGCCAGCUCACUUCAAAUUCGUAAGCAAAAAUCUGGCGGUUGCACAGUAGUGCUUUUGCUUCUUUGCUAGCCCUGAUAGUAAUAUUGAAUGGCUGGUUGAUAGCAUUGGUCGCGAACGUAGCCUUUGGCCCCUCUUUGCUCUAUAAACACAGAAGGCUUUAAUUACUUUGAAGCUUGAAACCCUUUGACCUCAGAUCAGGCAGGACUACCCGCUGA
rnacentral:misc_RNA from 1 species